UACGAAGGGGGCUAGCGUUGUUCGGAAUUACUGGGCGUAAAGCGUGCGUAGGCGGCUUCUUAAGUCAGGGGUGAAAGCCCAGAGCUCAACUCUGGAACUGCCUUUGAGACUGGGAGGCUUGAGUACGGGAGAGGUGAGUGGAAUUCCCAGUGUAGAGGUGAAAUUCGUAGAUAUUGGGAAGAACACCGGUGGCGAAGGCGGCUCACUGGCCCGUAACUGACGCUCAUGCACGACAGCGUGGGGAUCAAACAGG
rnacentral:rRNA from 1 species